CGCCUACGGGGGGCAGCAGUGGGGAAUAUUGCACAAUGGGGGAAACCCUGAUGCGGCGACGCCGCGUGAGUGAAGAAGUAUCUCGGUACGUAAAGCUCUAUCAGCAGGGAAGAAAAUGACGGUACCUGACUAAGAAGCCCCGGCUAACUACGUGCCAGCAGCCGCGGUAAUACGUAGGGGGCAAGCGUUAUCCGGAUUUACUGGGUGUAAAGGGAGCGUAGACGGCAGCACAAGUCUGGUGUGAAAACCCGGGGCCCAACCCCGGGCCUGCAUUGGAAACUGGCGGGCUGGAGUGUCGGAGGGGC
rnacentral:rRNA from 1 species